rnacentral:rRNA from 1 species
GCGGUAAUACCAGCUCCUCGAGUGGUAGGGAUGAUUAUUGGGCUUAAAGCGUUCGUAGCCGGCCCGGUAAGUCCUCCGUUAAAUCCAGCGAUUUAAUCGCUGGGCCGCGGAAGAUACUGCCGAGCUAGGGGGCGGAAGAGGCCGACGGUAUUCUCGGGGUAGGGGUGAAAUCCUAUAAUCCUGA